rnacentral:rRNA from 1 species
CCUACGGGUGGCAGCAGUGAGGAAUAUUGGUCAAUGGACGGAAGGCUGAACCAGCCAUGCCGCGUGCAGGAAGACGGCUCUAGGAGUUGUAAACUGCUUUUGUACGAGGGUAAACGCAGAUACGCGUAUCUGACGGAAAGUAUCGUACGAAUAAGGAUCGGCAAACUCCGUGCCAGCAGCGGCGGUAAUACGGAGGAUCCAAGCUUUAUCCGGAUUUAUUGGGUUUAAAGGGUGCGUAGGCGGUCGGAUAAGUUAGAGGUGAAAUCCCGAGGCUCAACUUCGGAAUUGCCUCUGAUACUGUUCGGCUAGAGAGUAGUUGCGGUAGGCGGAAUGUAUGGUGUAGCGGUGAAAUGCUUAGAGAUCAUACAGAACACCGAUUGCGAAGGCAGCUUACCAAGCUACUUCUGACGUUGAGGCACGAAAGCGUGGGGAGCAAACAGGAUUAGAUACCCUGGUAGUC